GUGCUCACUUUGGCAGCACAUAUACUAAAAUUGGAACGAUACAGAGAAUAUUAGCAUGGCCCAUGCACAAGGAUGACACGCAAAUUUGUGAAGCAUUCCAUAUAUAU
ensembl:snRNA U6 U6 spliceosomal RNA